UGGCAGGUACAGAGGGAUGCUACCGGGCGACCGGAUGCGGAUCUCGAAAGCCUGUCCCAGUUCGGACUGGAGUCUGCAACCCGACUCCACGAAGUUGGAUUCGCUAGUAAUCGCGCAUCAGCCAUGGCGCGGUGAAUACGUUCCCGGGCCUUGUACACACCGCCUGUCAAGCCAUGGGAGCCGGGGGCGCCUGAAGUCCGGGACCGCGAGGACCGGCCUAGGGCGAAACUGGUAACUGGGGCUAAGUCGUAACAAGGUAUC
rnacentral:rRNA from 1 species